AUGAAAAGCAAGUAGAGGACGGCAGCGAUGGUCAGCCUGGUCUUCACCUUCCUCUGCUUCAGCAACUCGCGCCGCUUGCUGCAGUUGUCACAGGGGUCCAUUUUCAAACUCAGCUGACUGUUGGUUAAAGCACAGGGAAGACUGAGGCAGGAGGAUUGCCGUAAGUUUGAGGACAUCCUACCUGAACUAUGAGUUGGGACCCUGCCUCAAAAAAAACACAGCCAGAGGCUGGCUGACUUCCUUUGGAACCUCUGCUCUUUAGCCACCAGCUGUCUGUCCUCUGAUGGGAAUCCUGUCUGUAGUGACCUCCUUACCUCAGUUUGCAGCUGAAUCAACAAAGAAAAGAGGAUCAACAGUUCCUAGUUCUGGAGGCUGAUGGUCUCUGAUUGCAUAGCCCAUUCAGUCCAGCUUCUGUGGCUCAUGGUGUCAAAACAGGUCACAGCAAGGCAGAAGCCAGAGGGAUUCAGGUACGAGGCCUGCUGUUUUGCUUUGUCUUGUUUUACUUUCUUUAAUAUGAUAAACAAAACUGGCUCUCUCAA
ensembl:processed_transcript 4930417H01Rik RIKEN cDNA 4930417H01 gene